rnacentral:rRNA from 1 species
UACGGAGGGUGCAAGCGUUAUCCGGAUUCACUGGGUUUAAAGCGUGCGCAGGCGGUUUUGUAAGUCUGUCGUGAAAGCCCCGGGCUUAACCUGGGAAUUGCGAUGGAGACUGCAAGGCUUGAAUCUGGCAGAGGGGGGUAGAAUUCCACGUGUAGCAGUGAAAUGCGUAGAGAUGUGGAGGAACACCGAUGGCGAAGGCAGCCCCCUGGGUCAAGAUUGACGCUCAUGCACGAAAGCGUGGGGAGCAAACAGG